AGCAUGUUUGAGUUUUCUGCUAGUACUUGCAGCUGUCAGGAUAACGCUUGAUGUUUCCCCUUACGCACAAUUUUCCCCCAUAUGAGAUGUAAGGGGAUGGUCUGAAGUCUUAGCUGUUAGUUCAGUGAUUGGAGGCUUAUGUGUAACUUCAGCGAUUUGCAUUCAAUUAAUUUUCUGAAUUUUUACAAAUACAAGAAAUAAAAACAUUUCCCUGCUAUAUAAAAGAUAAGUUAUCAUAUUUUCAACAUUAGUGCUCUAAAUAACAUUUAUUGAUUUAGGGCCCUGGAUUUUAUAGCAUCGGAACCAUUCAAUACUAGAAAGUAAACAUGCUGAAAGUAGGGUUCUAAAUUAAAUAUGAAUAGCUACAUAUCUGCUGUACAUCUGCAAGCAGGCUGUAGGUUCUAGAGCUUUGUUCAAUCCAAGAUAGGACAUGGCAGUAUUCAUUUUCUCAGAGCAGGGCUUAUUUGCCUGAGUAGCUGUGGUGCUUCUGGCUCCAAUGUUAUAUAGUCUCUACUAACAUAAUACAGAAAUAUAUGAGCUCCAGUGUGCAAUAUUGAUGUAGCUGAAGUGUUUAUAGUCUUCUGGAUAUAAAUGGCAGAUGGUGAUUAAGAUUUUAAUUUAUUAUCUUGGCAACUCUAGCUGUCCUUAAGAAAAACCUUUAAAUUCACUUGCAUUGAUGUAAGUUUGAAAAAAAAGAAAGCUAACUAAGAUAUAUGAAAAACUUGGUAAUUAUAAAAUGUGUUGUUCUUUAUUUUGCUAUUUGAAUAUAAACUAUGUUGUCCUUGGUGCAGAUACAUCUGUCUUCAGUACCUAUGAAAUUGAAUUAUUUUCCCCAGUUUUUAUAACACUGUAGAUACUGUUCUGCGCAUUUGCAUGGCUAGGUACCAUAACUCAAACCACAAGCAAAAUUGUUCAUAAAGUUUCAAAUUCUAAAUGAAAAUAGAAAUUGCUAUGUUGGAUUCAGUUUUCGCUUCUUUCUAAAAUCAUAAAAGGGCAAAAUUCUGAUUAAAAAACACAAGUCACAAAGGUUUGGCUUUGGGUCUUUUUUCACCUCUGAUUCAUAAUCUAGAUCUUUAACUAAACAGUUCUUCCAGAAAAAGGAAAUUUUAGGAUUGAAGAUUCAGGCCGUCUAGCUGGGUAGUGUUGCAGUUGUCACUGUUCUGUCACCUCAGUUGUGCUUCUGAGUGCACGGGCUGUUAACUGUCUCUCUAGUAAAGUAACUGUGCUCAACGCUCCUUAUGCCAAAGUGUGAGACUAGCCUUGAAUAUGAAAUUUUUGAGCAAAAUCCUGUUGAAACAUUUAGGAUUGUCAUUUUGUUUCUUUUCUCACAGCAAACACAAGUUCAGUUUUGGGUAGCAUACAUGCUGUUCUCCAGUGAGCAAAACCAAGAGAAGGCUACUGUGAAUGUGUUUUAUUUAGCAAAGUUUCUUAAAAUCUGUUUCUAGUUAAAUGACGAUGUGAUAAUCAUUUGAUAUUUUCAGGAUUCAGUUUGAAUAUUUGUUUUAGAGAAUGUUUUUCAAGUAUCAGACUGACAAUGGACUAUAACUUGCCUAUGCUUCAGAGUGAAACUGCAGCUCUAGUUAAGUAGUGGAAGGAAGAGAGCACAUGCUUUGUACAUGCUUAGCCCUUGACCAACAAGACCAUUUGUUGUUGAUAAUAGACUGAACUAUUUUGACCGUUGUUGCUUGUGCCAAUAAUGUCCUUUGCACCCUUCAAAAUUGUAUCUUGUUGAUACAUAUUCUAGAAAUCUGCAUGGCAGACUUGUCAGGGACUUUUAUGACCAUGCGCUGAAAUAAAACAUCCCCUUAAAAAAAUCUGCAGCAUAUGCAAGGCCUCCAAGGUAUACUCCAGGUAUAUUCUCCCUAGAUAGCAAUCGGGAAUCUAGUACCUAAGGUGUUAUUUGGUCUCAGGAAGAGGUCAUAGGGGUGAAAUAUGUGUGCUAUAAGAACUUUACUGACAUGGCAAAGUCAUAUUUUCUAAUUACAAUUACUUGUACCAGCUUGAAGUUUGCAAAAUGAGCUACUGACUACAGCGAGACUUUAAUAAGGGUGUUGGUGGCUGUGGGAAGAAGGUGAGACUCUCUUGCCUAAUGCAAGUCCAGAAAUACAAAUGGAAAGCCAAUGUUCAGCCUAUAUGUUCUUAAUGGGAGAAGUGGUAUUCUGUCAUCAACAAUGAUGAAAACAGAAGGGCUCCCAAACUUUUAUCCCAAAGAUACUUCUGGAUAAUGUCACUGACACAUCUGGCACAAUUGCGUGGCUGCAGGUAUCCUAUCAACACUGACAGAGCAUCAGUCCACUGACGUUACCAGCCAGAGUCAGAUGCCCACCCUGUGGGGCUGCUGCCAAAGAGUAGUGAAAUGUUCCUUCCAGAAUAUACUCCCUAACACUACUACUAGCUCCUUGGCUGAGCUGGCUGGUAAGCCAAGCCUCUUUUUUUUUAUUUUGACCUGUCUGUUGUGAGCCAGCAUGGACUUUUCUUCAGCAGCAGCUUCCAAAUUGAUCUCUAAUCAGCCAGGCUUCCUCUUCCUUAUCAGCCAAGCACUCAAGAAAUGUGUUUGGUUUGGGAUUUUUUAUGAGGGUUUUUCCAAGUCACCUGGCCAGUGUAACCUGAAAGUGGACCCCACCAGUCAUGCAGUGAAACUGCUGUGAAGAAGGACUUUGUCUUCACAGCAGGCAAGCUCUGUGAGCUGAUACUAGUAAUGUAAGAGGGAAGUGCCCUUCACUGGAUAAACAGCUACCUAUGGAACGCUGAUGCAGUACUGCCAAUAUAUUUUUUCGCCUUAUAUUGUGAAUGGAUAUAUACUUUCGGCACUUGACAAAGCAACAAAAUAGUUGCACAUUACAACAUACGGGGUUUCUGUCUUGGAAAGACCCUAAUUUUCUGUUUCUGUGACAUAUAAAUGCUAGCCUCUAUGUGACUCAUCCUGCUGUUAGCUUCUCAAGGAAGAGAGGCUAUAUUCACAUCACUUGGAAGAAUAUGAAGUGGAAUGGAGGGUCCUGCCUUUGAGAAGCCAGGAAAGGAAGGGAAAGGUGAACAUCCUUGAAUAGGUAUCUUUCACAGGUGGCAUUAGGACAUACUUGAUAUAUGAAGCAAGUGAUUGUAUUUUGCUGGACUAUGAACCAUGUAUUGGCUUCCCCUUCCCUCCUCCUCUGCCUUCCUCCCUCUUCCAACACAUACACUCUUUUCUAUACAUAUCCUUCCUAUGAGAUACGCUUCUGAGGAGGUUCACUGUCCAGAAACAAUGUAUGAACCUGUAAGCCACCAGGCUGGAUGGGUUUCCCAUUCCUCAUGUGAAUUACAAAGUGUGCAGCAGAUCAUGAUAAUCCUGCCAGUGCAGAAGGCAAAGCCAGUGUGUAUGGAGAUGCCUGAAGGCCUAGUUCAUUAUCAUCUGGCAGAAGUUAAGGACCUACUGAAUUUCCAGUAGCUUUGAUGAUGCUACAGAAGAACGUUAAACACCAGAGCAACAGAGAUUCAGUAGCUGCCUUUCUUGUGCUUGACUAGAUGUGUCUUGAAGUUCUACUUGGUAAAAGCUGUCUUCUCUAACCGCCACCUUGUAGAUCAUAGGUUGGUGCACCAUACUGGCUCAAUGAGGUUUGCUAACAAAUGGAGUCUCUGACAGGUUGCUUCAACUUGACAUCAGUGCUCAAAACCAAUGAUGGUGUUAACUUUUGCUGAAAGUGGCAGGAAAUAAGUAUUCAAGUGAAAUAAAUGACUUUUUCAAGCUGUCAAGCAAAAUAGGAUGCAGCAAUUAACAGACCAGAAGAAUGAGUUGUCCAAAUUCGCUCCAGAAUUUCCUGCAGAACAGUGAAUGAGUGAAUACCAGGAAUGAGUCUUUGAAAUAUAUUUCAGGCUUGCGUUUGGACGCAAGAUGACAAGCCCCAUUUAUUGAAAACUUAAGUACUGCCAAAAAAGGCUGUUACACCUUUCUUCAUUUUGCAACAGUGGAUCUUUAAUCAACCUAUUUAUUCAUCCAGACUGCAUCUGAAAAACGGGACAUCCAACAAGGUGAGUAUUGUGCUUAUGAAUCAACUAAAAAGAACCAUUCAACAGAGUAUGUCUGUCAGAAACGUGUUCUUGAAGUUAAAUAUUUUUAACUGCUGCUUUAUAAAACAUUUUUUAUUCACAUAUGUUGCAAUUCUUUAUUGUGUGAUAAUGCUUUUUAUUUAUAAAUAACAUCAGUAUUUUUAAAGACUGGAAUACAUUGUACUGAUUCCAUUUGUUUCCACUGUGAUAGUAAACUGAAUUAAUGGAAAUAAUGUUGCAGGUACUUUGUCAUUCAUUCAUGUUAAAGUAGAGAAAAAUGCAUUUAUAUUCAAAAUGGAUGUGAAGAAUUAAAAAUAAAUUAAUCUUUCUGAUGUCCUAGAUCAGGCAAGGAAAGUUAAAAUCAAGUUUAAAUUGGGGUAAUGAUGAGAUUAAGCCUUCUGUAGCCUUAUUGUUUUAAGUACAUAAGGAAAGAACUUUACAUGCAGUAUUUUAGCAUCUGAUGUCCUACAUCUCUUAAAAAAAGGUUUUACAGUCACAACUAUGGAAUACAUAUUUCCAAAGUCCUUUUCUUCCCAGCAGUGCCCAAAUCUGAAUGACUGUGUCAUUAUAUUUAGAUUCUAACAGUGCACUCCUUUUUAAAAAUAUACACCCUUACUUUUUAAAUAAUGUGCUAUUGUUUUUAGUUUCCUGUUUCCUUUUGAUCUAAGUUCAUUGCUGAAAACUUGCUUCAUUUUAUCUUUAAUCUGAUAAGGUAGAACUUUGACAACUAUCUGUUUCUUCACCAAAAUCUUACAACUGGGAGACCCCAAGUGACCAGUACCUUUCUUCAGUCCGGAUGAAUACCUUCUAUUUCACUUGCAGUUGCCAGUGGUUUGGUUUUAUACUUAAUCUCCUAUUAUUUGUCUUCUUGUGUGAAUGGCUUUUAUAAAAGCAGUACCAUUGCUUUUGUAAAAGUGUGUUGAGUGGAGUGUACUGGUGGCUGUACAACCCAAGACAAUGGUAGGAAUUCACUGAGCACAAUUAAUAAAUUAAAUCAUAGCAUGAAUAUUGAUGUAUUAAUAGUGCUGUACAGCUAGUGCUGUGUACAACUAGCAUACACCAGCAUUCUUGAACAGUGUAUAAGUUAGUAUAUGCUAUUGUUGUAAUGGAGGAAGUUAGCAAUUAUUUUAAUGUGCUUGGUUAUAUUUCACACCAGAAUGUAAUUUCUAAACAUAGCAUUAUGAUAUGCAGGUGAUAACUACUUUUCUGUUACUCUGUAGUCUUCAAAUGACCAAACUGUGAUUUGUUUGCAUCUUAAGAAGUUGGAAAGAGAAGUACAAGUAAACCACAAGAGAAAGGUAAGAAUUAGAAUCUGAUGAAUCAUAUAAUUAUAGAAUAUCUCAGGUUGGAAGGCACCCACAAGGAUCAUCAAAUCCAGCUCCAUGAUCCUCGCAGGACUACCUGAAAAUAAACCAUGUGAUUAAGAGCAUCAUCCAGACAUUCCUUGAACUCUGACAGGCUUGAUGCUGUGACCACUUCCCUGGGGAGCCUGUUCCAGUGACCCACCACCCUCUCAGUGAAGAACCUUUUCCUAAUGUCCAGUCUGAACUUCCCCUGAGGCAGCUUCAUUCCAUCUCCUUGUGCCCUGUCGCUGGUCACCAGAGAGAGGAGACCAGCACCUCCCCCUAUGCUGCCCAUCUUGAGGAAGUUGUAGACUGUGAUGAGGUCACCCCUGAGCCUUCUCUUCUCCAAGCUAGGAAGUGUCAAGACAACAAAAAUGAAGGGUCAAAACAACAAAAAUGAAAUAAACAUAGCAACAUCACUGAUUGCACAUUGCAUUUUUAGUCCAUGAUGUUGAGUUUCAUUACUGUUUUGAACUCAGAACUUACCGAAGCUUAAAUGUUUUUUUAUCAGCACUGACUUUCAUUGUUAAUCUAUUUCUAAACUGCGAUUUCUGCUUCUCUCUUAUCCCCUCACUUCUCAACAUUUCGCUGGUCUUCAGCUCCUUUUACUCCUUCAUCAAUGUUAGCUUUUGACCUAUGGAUUUUUGUCUGCCCUCCAUGAUUCUAAGCUAACUCCUAAAUGGGAUAUAUGUGAGUAAAUGCUGGGAAACUUAGGUAUUUUGCAGGCUGUAAAACUACCAUGUACUAGUCAGUGUUGCAUGUGAGAAACCUUGUAAAGGCAAGAUGUUAAAUCUGUGUUAAUUUCUUUGAGUUGUUGGGCUCUAUAGUCUAAUAAAAAUGUGAGCUGAUAUGGUUAUUAUUUGUAAAGACAAGCUUCUUUUGUCCUCUACCCCAAAUGGACCACACUAAUCACUGUGAUGAUAUGAUUUGUGCCUCCUUUUGAACCUUCUUAAUUUAGGCCUCUCUUUGCACAGGAAACAUGGUUAGACAGUUUCUUAAGUAAGUAGGAGACACAGUUCUGCCUGAAUCUAGAUGGAAGCUUUUGAAAUUAUUUCUGUAAGACUAUUACGCUUUUGUUUGGACUGGUACAUGAAGCAUAAGUGUAUCUGGCACUUUAAUUUCCUCAGUUUUGGCUACAGAGUAAAACCAGGAUAAAAUUAUGAGGGCAGGAGAUAGGAAGUUCCAGCAUGGGUAGAGAAAAGCAAAGUUCCCAGGUACUUCAGCCCCCCGAAGGUAAAAUCCAGGGAGGAAGGAGGCUGGAGAAGUGCAAGGAUGGAAAAUUUAGUGGAAGAGUGGAGCUUUGUGGCAGAAAAAAUGGAAUAUCAAAUGAAAUAUCAAAGCAAAGACUAAAGGAAACAUCAGCACUGCUGGUUAAAUUUUGUUACAUGAAAUGCGUUGUGUUCAGUGUCCAAGAAGAAAACAAAGCAGGUAAAUAUUCCCGUAGAAAAUGUACACUGUGAAUUCUGAGAACAGGCAUAGAGCAGUCAUUUUCCAUGUCAUUAGUUCCUAUAAGAUCCCAUACUUAAUGUAAGCAGAUUUUUCCAGGUGCAUCAUUACUGACACCAAGCUUUCCUAAUAGACUUCAGAGAGGACCCAAGUGCUGAAAAUGGGAGGAUGGUCAUUUUAUUCUUUGAGGGAAAGAAAAAGGCCAAGAGUCUGCUAGAAAGAAUGCAAGAAUUUUGUUUCCUUAAAACACUUUGAAAGACUUCGUUAAAAGGAAAUUCAAGAGUCAGAG